GGAUUACCAAAAACCAAUUACAUUUAAAUACAAUUAUGCCAAUUUUUUUAACCAACAGAUUUCCAGAUUCUGAAUCAGGAACCCCUGGCUUUGAAUAGUCUGUGUUGGAGACCUUUUGGAUUAGAGUAUGGAAUGGGGAUGCCUAUGGAAUACAAGGUAGUGGGGAGCCAGUGAAGCUUCUUGAGCAAGAAAGUGCUAUGAUCAGAGAGACCUGGGCAUGAAAAGAUGUGGGGGCAGAGGGAAGGGGACUGGCUUUGGAGUCAGAAGGCCUGAGUUCAUGUAUGGGCUCUGAAGACCAUUAUUUAUGCAAGUUGCCUCACUCCUCUGAAUUCCAGUUGUCUGGUCUUCACUGCAUCAUCUACACUCCCUACUUCCUGGCACAGUGAUAGGGCUUGUUGCUCUCUGAAACAAGAACUGGGAGCCCUUGCCAGGCCUUCCCUCCUGCAGCCAUUCUGACUCCUUCUUGACGAGUUCCAGGGGCUUGGAGAGCCAGCAGCCAGUCACCAAGAGCACGUCUCUGCAGGGAGUGGGUGACCCACGCUAUCAGCCUAUCCUCCUGCCUACAGGCCUACUUGUAAUAUGAACUUCCCCUCCCUGACCUCAGUGCUGACAUUGACACUCCCUUCCCGAGAGCCAGAGAGCCACCCCAGGCCUGGCCUGCUACUGCUGAGACCUGGUCAGAACUAAGAGAACAGAGGAAACCUAAGAAAGAAACAGAAAAGCAAGAUCAUUCUAAAAGAAUCAUACCCAGUCUCUCCUUAAUA
ensembl:lncRNA